CAUCAACACUCUUGGUAAUUGCAUUGGUACCAAAACUUAUCUGUGACAAUAUCUUGAACAUUAAUGCCUUUAAGAGAAAUGCCCUUAAAAAUACCUUUAGCAAGCAUUUCCUUAGCAAACACGCUCCUAGCAACAGAGAGUAAGUUUUGUAAGGGCAUGUGAAUACAAAGGCAGAGACUGGAGUGAUGCCAAGAAAUGUGAAAGAUUUCCAGGAACCAUCAGAAGCAAGGAAAAACGCAUGGAAAAGAUUCAGAGUGCUCAGAAGGAAGCAACCCUACCACCACCUGAUUUGGACUUCUAAGCUCCAGAACUAGCCCUGGCUGUGUUCACUGAAUGGAUCUAGUCUCUGAAAAUUCACCGACAUUUUUGGCUUGGCGCUGUGGCUCAUGCCUGUAAUCCCAGCACUUUGGGAGGUUGAGACGGGAAGAUUACGAGGUCAAGAGAUCAAGACUAUCCUGGGCAACAUGAUGAAAUGCUGUCUCUACUAAAAACACAAAAAAUUAGCUGGGUGUGGUGGUGCGAGCCUGUAGUCCCAGCUACUCAGGAGGCUGAAGCAGGAGAAUUGCUUGAACCCAGGAGGCGGCGGUUGCAGUGAGCCAAGGUGGCGCCACCGCUCUCCAGCCUGGCAACAGAACGUGACUCCGUCUCAAAAAAAGAAAAAAAAAAAAUUUCAGGGAUAUUUAUGUAGUGACCUGUUAUUUAAUUUUUCAAUAAUAUAAAUCUGUUUCAAGAAAAAGAAAUUUUAAACAAACUCUUAUGAUUUUCUUUCUCCUGAAAAUUAUUCCAGAACUUAAAAAAAAGGAGAAACAAAACAGAAAGCGAAGAGGACGUAAAUAUUCCCAUUUAGAAGCCCAAAGUCAGUGAGAUGAAACCCAACAUCAAGAAAUUGAAGCAAAGUUACUUGUGGAUAAACAAUGCAUUAGGAAAUGGACUCUCAGCUCUCUCAAAAAGUAUCAAAGAAGUGAAAUUCAUCAGACCACUGUGUCGAGACAAUGAGAUGCCAGAUGCCAGAUUCCUUAUUUGUCAUGAUUGCUUCCUUAGCCCUCCCUAGUUCCUGUUUUCCUGCUCAUAGUUACAUUUCUUCCUUGCUAUAUAAUCCCCUAAUUUCGGCUGGUUGAGGAGAUGGAAUUGAGACUGAUAUCCCAUAUCCUUAGCUGUAGCAUGCAAUUAAAGCCUUCUUCCUUG
rnacentral:lncRNA from 1 species